rnacentral:misc_RNA from 1 species
AUAUACUCCCUCCAUCCCAUAAAAAAUCAACCUAGUACUGGAUGUGACACAUUCUAGUACAAUAAAUCUAGACAGUCCAGAUUUAUUGUACUAGAAUGUGUCACAUCCCGUCAUAGAUUCGUUCUUUUGGGACGGAGGGAGUAUGUGGUA